rnacentral:rRNA from 1 species
UACGAAGGGGGCUAGCGUUGCUCGGAAUGACUGGGCGUAAAGGGCGCGUAGGCGGUUCAUACAGUCAGAUGUGAAAUUCCUGGGCUCAACCUGGGGGCUGCAUUUGAUACGUGUGGACUAGAGUGGGGAAGAGGGUCGUGGAAUUCCCAGUGUAGAGGUGAAAUUCGUAGAUAUUGGGAAGAACACCAGUGGCGAAGGCGGCGACCUGGUCCUUGACUGACGCUGAGGCGCGAAAGCGUGGGGAGCAAACAGG